UUUAUAUUUUUUUUAAGGAACGCGCGUCUCUCUUCUCUAAGAGGGAAAAUGAAAUCCCCAAAAAUUUUGAACCCCGAUUUUUCUCCUACAUUCGAUCUGUUCUCUAACAUCUCAUCUGCUUCGUCUCCGCCCCUCACCCACCUCCACUACCUCCAACCCACACCGACUCUUCAAGUCUGCACAACGUAAGCUAGGGCUUUUUUUGAUCGGAGGUUAUGGUGUGGAGGAAUUUGGGGAAAACAACAAGAAGGAGGAGGAAUAAGGUUAAUAAUCUGAUUCCAUUCAUGUUUGUGUUGCUUUUCUCAUUGAUGUUCGACGUCUUCUCCGGUGGUGAUGGUCGUCGGACAGGUUACGGUUUUGUUAAAGGCGCCGUUGGAAAAAGCGAUGGAGGUUCUGGUGCGAUUUAGUGGAUUACUGGUGGCGGUGUUGGUGCUAGUGGUGGCUCUGGAUCCCAAUCUAAUGUCGGAAUAGCUAUCGCCAUGACAGUCAUGGCUGGCCUCCCCGUGGCCACCACCCUCGUUUACUCUAAUAGAUUAUAGAUAUAGUUACUUCACAUAUAGAAUUUACUAGAAAAAGGAAAGAUGUUGGCCUCACAACAGAAACAUCAUGUAUUGAGAGCACUCCGACGAAGUCACACUUCGUCACCAUCAUCUUCAAAUUCGUCCUCUCCGACAUCGUCGUCAUCGUGGAUUCAUUUGCGAUCAGUUCUAUUAGUCGUUGCUUCCUCAUCAUCAUCCUCACCAAUUUCUAGGUCAGUUCCCUCAUUCGUCUUUCCUCUCCUUUCUAGAUCUCGAUCUCCAACUACUAUCUUUUACUCCAAAAAAAUGCACCGAUCUCUUGUUUCUCUACUUGCUUAGCCGAUUUGUUCUAGGUUUUUUUACUUCUAUACACCUACCUUUCACCAGAUAUUGUAUUCCUCCUUUUUUUUCUUCAAGUUUCUAUGGGAAGAACCCCGCUUUUACAAGCCCUAGGUGUGAUUGCACUAAGGUAUGAAAAGGAUGCUUCUACUCUGCCCUAUUUCUUCAGUCGUUCAACAAAUAAGAGGGCAUGCAAUUUCUCAUUCAUAUCUCAACUUCAUCUUCUCGAUCAAGAAAAAAGCUUAUGAUUUUUCCCUUUCAGCUUAUAGCUAUUGGCUUAGAACUAGAUGCUGUUUGGGAAGCUAUCUGUCAAGCACAUGUAUCAGUUGUUUGAGUUUCUAUUCACACCAUUUGAUGAUGCUAGUAACCCUAUCAUAGCUCAGGCAGCUUUCCUUGCAACAUUAACGAAAGUUGAGAUUGCAGAAGCAGCUGCUUCUGCAGCUGUAAAGGCUUUGACCGAAGUCAACUAUGAAACUAGUAAAGAAAUUCUUGAAUCGUCUGUUGAUGAUGCAAAAGAUCAAGAGGAUGUCUUUCUUGCAGCUUCAACAGCAAACACAAGAAAAAUGCUAGGAGAUUUGGGAUAGACAAGUUCAAAACCUGUUUGCUGUUGAUGGUGAAGAAAACGAAAGCUACAUUGAAGCACAUAGUGACCUUGAUUCAUUUGUAGAAGCUUAAGAUUGGGAAGGCUGGUAUCACAGAGGGGAUUGUUAAUGGAAUCCAUGAGAGGUGGAGAAGGACUGUCCUCGUAAAGAUUGUCUAUGAGGAUUUGUCUAGAUUGAACAUGAGGAUUUGUCUAUUCUUCUGUAGUAUACAGUGUGGACAUUGUAAAAAUCUUGCACCUGAAGGGAAGAAGGCUACAAAGAAUUUACAAGGAAAGGUGAAGCUUGGACAUGUGAACUGUGAUGACAAAAAGUCUUUAAUGAGUAGGUUUAAGGUACAAGGGUUCCCAACUAUAUUAGUAUUUGGUGCAGAUAAAGAGAGUCCAAUCACAUAUGAAGGAGCAAGAAUUGCAUCUGCAAUUGAAUCAUUUUCCCUUGUUCAGCUAGAAACAAAUGUUGCUCCUUUUGAAGUGACCGAGUUGACUAGCUCAGAUGUGAUGGAAGAGAAAUUUGGUUCAGCUACCAUCUGUUUUGUUUCCUUCCUCCCUGAUAUUUUGGACUCUAAGGCUGAGGGAAGGAAUAAGUAUAUAGAGAUACUUCUAUCAGUUGCUGAAAAGUUCAAAAGGAGUCCUUACAGGUUUAAUCGGUUCCAUGGCCAAUGGCGGAUCCUGGAUUUUUUUUUUUAUGUUAGGAGAGCUUGGGGCCAUUUAUACGAUAAGAUUUGUGGAAGGAAUGGCUCCGGUUUUCUCCAGAGCUGCAUGGCAUUGUGGAAGGAUCCCCAAGGGCGUGCAGUUGUGAGCUGGUAUGGGGGCGUUUUGGUCAUUGAAAAAGGAGUCAAAGGUGGAGAUAUUCUCAAUGCUGGCAUAUGCGUUCUAUAUGGAUGAUUCUCCAAGCAUCCAAAGGAAAAGCCUCCAAGCAACUCUGAAUGAUCUGAUCUGUAUGCAUUUGAAUUGAUGCAAAGGUUGGUGACUCGGCAGGACCUAAAUGUAAAGUCGUAUUACAAGAAGUUAGUCAACUUGUUGAAGAAAAUUAAGCUUGCAUCAAAUAGCAAAGCAUUGAAGACCACAUUUGGUGCUGCUCAGGUUCUGACAGCUCUAGCAACCUCCUUCCAUGCCCUGAAGCCUUUCAAAGUUCUUGCAUCAGGUUAUUCUUUUUAGAAAGGAUAUUGUCAAAUGAGAUUAUCAAAGGAGAAUUUAGUCAUGAGUUUCUUUUAAUGUUGUACAUGUUUUGUUUUCUAUAAUAAAUAUUAUGAAAUAUUAGCAAUGUGUUACAUUUACUUACUAUUGGAAUAAUUAUUUGUAUUUGACAUAUUAGUGAAAUGAAUUAUCUUUGUUAUUUAUGGUAUUUUAUUUUGUAUUAUGAAAUUUUUAAUGUAUUAUUUAAUUUGAAAAUUAGUAAAUCUAUAAAUAAUAUUUUUUUAAACAUUUAAAAUUAUGAUACGCAAAAAUGUGUGUCAUCUUCAUUUAUGACAUGACCUUUCUUGACAGGGGCUUUCUUGAUACGCAAUGCGUGUCAUUA